AAGUCGUAACAAGGUCUCCGUAGGUGAACCUGCGGAGGGAUCAUUACCGAGUGAGGGCCCCCGGGCUCGACCUCCCACCCCUUGACAAACCCCCGGUUUGCCUCGGGGGUGACCCGGCUCCGCGCAAUGCGACGGCCGGGUGCCCCCGGAGGUAUCCCCACUCUGCGUCCUUGCGUCGGAGUCGAAUCGAAAAUUGAAUAAAAACUUUCAACAACGGAUCUCUUGGUUCUG
rnacentral:misc_RNA from 1 species